rnacentral:tRNA from 1 species
UUCGGAGUAGCUUAAAUAAAGCUUUGAUUUUGUAAUUCAAAGAUGGGGCGACCCCUUCCGAAU